AGCGAACGCUGGCGGCGUGCUUAACACAUGCAAGUCGAGUGCGCGGUAGCAAUACUGGCGCACGGCGCACGGGUGAGUAACACGUGGGCAACCUGCCCUGCAAUGGGGGAUAACCCGCCGAAAGGCGGGCUAAUACCGCAUGACAUCACGAUGGCUUCGGCCGUUGUGAUCAAAGGCCGCAAGGCCGUUGGAGGAGGGGC
rnacentral:rRNA from 1 species